rnacentral:lncRNA from 1 species
CCUGGCACAAUUCUAUUAGGACCUAAUUCUGACAACAAUACACGUCAUUAUAGUGGGAUCUGAUAAUGAGCAAACACUGGAGGCAUUACACGUCUUUAGAAGAAGCAGACUUCCUACCUUAUUAAGACUGAUAGAAGGGUAUGUACUAAUCUCUGGAGUGACUGGAUAUUUCUUGUGUGCCACCUGGCUAAGGGCUGGAGGUAACAGGAAGGAAGGAAGCAAUGAAUUAAUAUCGUGAUGACUUUCAAAUUAAAAGAGCAACAUUUUAUACAUGAUUUGGAUAUUAACAAAAAUUUCUACUCAGGAUGAGCGUAGAUGCACUGGCACGGAUGGAGCUCGUGGAGUCACUGUCCCUGAAGGCAAUCAAGAACUGUGGAGAUGUGGCACAGAGGAGCAUGGUGGGGACGGGUUGGACAUGAUGAACUUAAUGAUCUUUUCCAACUUUGAUGAUUCAGUAAUAUAGACUUUUGUGAUCCUCCACAUGUAGUCAUACUACUUGGAAAUUAUCACAAAAGUUGGGAAAGCAAAGUAGAACAGCUGGUCACACAUUCCUUCAGUCAGCAUUCAAAAAUAUGAAGGAAUAAUGAUACCUACUCAUUGAGAAAUAGUAUCUGGUGAGAUUUGGUGGAGCAAAUUAUCCUGUAUUGGCAGUUAAAACAGUAUAGCUGAAAUCUGGCUUGUAGGAAUCUUGUCUUCUGCAAAAUACUGCUUGUUCAGAGAUCAAUAACCUGAAACUGUAAAGACAACAAAGGCUAAACUCUGUCUCCAGCUCAUUUGCAGAUUGAGCUCAGUCCAACAAACAUUUGUUGUGUUUCCAUUGCUGUGUUCCUCAGGUAAAGCCUAUGGAGUUUUCUCUGCAGGAGAAACAUUUACUUAUAAUGCAGAUUCCAAAAUGAUGCCUCUGCCUGAACAGAAUAUAUGUUUUUUAGUGCCAAUCAGCGUCUUUGUUGUUGCUGAAGAAUUGAGCAGAUUCAGUGGUGCGUCACCUAAGAACAGGCUGUCCAUUGCUUCACUGUGCAGUCUUUCCAUUUCUACCCUUUAUUCUGAAACAUGCCUGAUGAGGAAAGAUUAUGAUACGGGUACAGUGAUUAUUUUGGCAUUUGGCACAGAACCUAUUAGGCCCUCCAUCCAAGACAACUAAUAAAAAGAAAAGGAGUAUUGAAAGGUACAAGAUAACGUAGCACAAAGAGACAAGACUACAGUUUACCAAGAAAAUGUUUCUGAAGCAAAAGAAUGAGAAAAGUGCAUUACCUUUUAGCUUGACUGCGAUCAUAGAACAAGUCAGGCAAUGUCAGAGUGAAGGAUGUAGGAAAGAAUAAAGAAAAUGGACAAAGAAAUGCA